GACGAACGCUGGCGGCGUGCUUAACACAUGCAAGUCGAACGGAAAGGCCCUGCUGUUGUGGGGUGCUCGAGUGGCGAACGGGUGAGUAACACGUGAGUAACCUGCCCUUGACUUUGGGAUAACUUCAGGAAACUGGGGCUAAUACCGGAUAGGAGCUCCUGCUGCAUGGUGGGGGGUGGAGAGUUUCGGCGGUUGGGGAUGGACUCGCGGCUUAUCAGCUUGUUGGUGGGGUAGUGGCUUACCAAGGCUUUGACGGGUAGCCGGCCUGAGAGGGUGACCGGCCACAUUGGGACUGAGAUACGGCCCAGCCUCCUACGGGAGGCAGCAGUGGGGAAUAUUGCACAAUGGGCGGAAGACUGAUGCAGCAACGCCGCGUGCGGGAUGACGGCCUUCGGGUUGUAAACCGCUUUCGCCUGUGACGAAGCGUGAGUGACGGUAAUGGGUAAAGAAGCACCGGCUAACUACGUG
rnacentral:rRNA from 1 species